GACAUGUUUCAGGAGUCACACCCAAGAACCUUGCUGCUGCUGAGAUGAGUCAUGCUAAAAAAAUUUUUUUUUUUUUUUUUUGGAAACACCAUUUCAUUUUUGGAUUGCUGCUGCUUAUGAAAUAAUCAUGCAGCUAACAUUACUUUCUGAAGCAGAAGAGUUGUUUGCAGACUGUGAAGAAAUUGAAGGUUUUAGUUGUUUUUGCAGAGAAAUGCUGAAGUUACUGUGAACGGCAACUUCAGCAUGCAAAGUGUAAGCAUAAAUGCACUUUUUUCAUUUCCGUAUUUAUUUUUUAGUUAUGACAUAGCACAACCAAACUGGAUGACAGCUGAAACCUGAGCUACCUGUGCCAUGCCAUUCAUUGCAAUAUAUAUUGAUAUAGUGUUGUUUUUUUUUAAAUAGGUUAUGUCCCUACUGUCCUUUUCAAGUGAAGGUUUUCUCCAAAGAGGCACCCCCUGUCCAAAUCAGGAAAAGCAAGUUCUAUCUUUUGGCACCUUACUGCGCUCUGGAGCAUUUGAGUUUGUAAUCUGGUACUUGUAAUCUGAAGAUUACCAGUACAGUGUUCAAUAUUUGAAAGAGAGCAGCAAGAAUCUAGCAGCAGGCAAAAACUCACUGGUGAAAUCAUAUGUGAAACAGGAAAUUGCUGCAGAACAGCAGGAAUGAGUUUCUGGCAGGGAAUAUAGGCUAGCACUUAUAUAGUACAAGAAUUAAAAAAAAAAACAAAAAUACUCUUGCACAUAUAUUCAGAAAAGCUUCACAUUGAGUAGAUGAGAUGAAGAUUUGCUGCCUGUGACAGGUCCUCCAGCAGAGGUCAGGGAAGACAGCUGGUAGCAGCAGCUCAACAACAGUGAGUCUGCAGAGUCUGAGCUUUGCUUUUGCAUACUCUCCUGGUGAAUGCUGUGACUCCAUCUAUUGACAAAGCACUUUCCAGGACAACUUAAAUAAGCAGAUAUGCUAUAGAAAUUUCUUUUUUCCCCAGAAACUAUAUUAUGGUGAAAGUUUAUCACCUCAUAAGUGGCACUUUACAUCAAAGCAGGAAAGAUGAGCAGAAAGACACUACAGACAAAGAAGGAAUGGCUCUAAGAGAAGAAGGGACUGGAAUAGUUAAGGUACGGAAUACAGCAGUUUUUCAAAGGCUGUUUUUAUGAUUGUCAAUAGCUAGCAAUUAAUUUGAAUACUUUUAAAUAUUUAACCUAUAAAACCUAAAACACUGAGUUCUUGAUGCCUG
rnacentral:lncRNA from 1 species